rnacentral:rRNA from 1 species
GACGAACGCUGGCGGCGUGCCUAAUACAUGCCAGUCGAACGCUGAAGAGAGGAGCUUGCUCUUCUUGGAUGAGUUGCGAACGGGUGAGUAACGCGUAGGUAACCUGCCUUGUAGCGGGGGAUAACUAUUGGAAACGAUAGCUAAUACCGCAUAACAAUGGAUGACACAUGUCAUUUAUUUGAAAGUGGCAAUUGCUCCACUACAAGAUGGACCUGCGUUGUAUUAGCUAGUAGGUGAGGUAAUGGCUCACCUAGGCGACGAUACAUAGCCGACCUGAGAGGGUGAUCGGCCACACUGGGACUGAGACACGGCCCAGACUCCUACGGGAGGCAGCAGUAGGGAAUCUUCGGCAAUGGGGGCAACCCUGACCGAGCAACGCCGCGUGAGUGAAGAAGGUUUUCGGAUCGUAAAGCUCUGUUGUAAGUCAAGAACGGGUGUGAGAGUGGAAAGUUCACACUGUGACGGUAGCUUACCAGAAAGGGACGGCUAACUACGUG